AAAAAACAAACCCUCAUUUGAAGGGUUAAGUAACAUUUCUAAGUUCUAUAUUGUUAAGUAAUAAAGUGAAAAUUCCAAUCCAGUUACUUCAUUCAUUUAUUCAAUCAGCAAACUUUACUGUGUUCCUACUGUGCUAGCCGGACACUGUGCUGGGGCUAGAAUACUUGAGAGAAUAAAGGAAAGAUCCCUGCCCACUUGGAACUUAUAUUCAAGCUGGAGGAGAGAGACAAUAAAUCAAAAUAAUUAAAGUAUAAGUUAUGUGAUUACCACCUUCUGAUUAGCCCCUUACAAAGUUGAAUCAGUUGGAAAAUCUGUCGGAUUGAAUUUGAGGUUCACCCUAAGACAUGGCCUUCUGUGUUUUUCUCCUUUCCUUCAAACCCUGCAGCCUGCUGGCAAGUAAUACCCUCACCUUCAUCUGUUCUAAACUCAGAGGACACAAGGGCCCCAGUGGAGUUCUCUGGAUCUCCCCAACUAGUUAUUUUGGAAAAAUAACAUCUUAAGAUGUUUUAAUUACAGGCAUAUGUUUACCUAUCCGUGCACAAUUUAAUUCAUGGAAUAAACAAAUAAGUUUGACAAA